rnacentral:rRNA from 1 species
GAUGAACGCUAGCGGCAGGCUUAACACAUGCAAGUCGAGGGGUAUAGUUCUUCGGAGCUAGAGACCGGCGCACGGGUGCGUAACGCGUAUGCAAUCUACCUUUUGCAGAGGGAUAGCCCAGAGAAAUUUGGAUUAAUACCUCAUAGUAUGUGAGAAUGGCAUCAUUUUCACAUUAAAGUCACAACGGCAAAAGAUGAGCAUGCGUCCCAUUAGCUUGUUGGUAAGGUAACGGCUUACCAAGGCAACGAUGGGUAGGGGUCCUGAGAGGGGGAUCCCCCACACUGGUACUGAGACACGGACCAGACUCCUACGGGAGGCAGCAGUGAGGAAUAUUGGACAAUGGGCGAAAGCCUGAUCCAGCCAUGCCGCGUGCAGGAUGACGGUCCUAUGGAUUGUAAACUGCUUUUGUACAGGAAGAAACACUGGUUCGUGAACCAGCUUGACGGUACUGUAAGAAUAAGGAUCGGCUAACUCCGUGCCAGCCGCCGCCGUAACAC